rnacentral:sRNA from 1 species
GGACUUGAAUUCUACAAUUAAUACUGGAGAAAUUGACAAUAUCCCUAAGCAUUUACAAUUGACCCUUGAUGUGGAGCAACACACUCAGGUUCUCAAUUUGAGCAAGAUAAAGUCUGCUGAGAGGAUAAAAUCUGGCAAGGGGCUUGCAGAUCAGAACAGAUCUGGUUCAAUGUUGGAUCUUGACCUCAGCAGCAGCGGUAG